AUAGCAAAAGUUGGAAUGAUGGUUUAUAUUUUCUUAUUUUCCAAUAUAGUUAUCGUAAAUAUUUAUAAAAUAAUACAGCGUGGCCCGUUUCCGGUCGCGUUUACUCUAUUUUUUUAAAAUCCAAUCACAUUUCAAGUCUCAUGUGUUACCAGGGUGAAAAUAAUCUAACCCUCAGAAACACUAGUACUGUGUUUGUGGAGUUCAUUUUAACCAAUUAGAUUUUGAGUAGGCUACACUAAGACCGUCCACCGAUUUGAGUGAUUUGAUUGGACGGUCUAAGUCUCAACUCUACCAAAUUGUAUGUAGCGAGUUUCAAGCUCUAACAUGAAGUUUUCUCUACGUCCACUGCCCCACUGUGGAGCGGACAUUCCCAGCCUAAAGCAAAUUAAAACGUAUGCCUUAAAUACGACUGGACUCUCAGCAUCAGAAAGAAUGGACUGUUACACGCAUGAUUUGUAAAACGGCAAUUGAACUUAUCUUAGCGUGAGGAACAUGAACUUCGUGUGCAGGUACUCAUAGGUUUUGUGAGUCGUCCUCUCUAGGUCACCAACUGCUGCCCUGUUACUGAGCCUUGACGCCCACUGAGGAAUCUCGAUCUUGGCUUCCACUCCGUACUCCCAUGAUUCCGUACUCCCUGCGCAGGAGGACCAGAGGACAACCUUGCAUGUGAAAAUCAGCGGCAAAGAAGGACAGGUGACAAUUUUCCAAACAUCUGCUGAGCGGAGUCACAGUAAAAGGGCAGCCAGACUUUGGCUUAUCAGUGCCGACCAGACAUCAGACCGUGGUAAUUUGAUGAGAUUUAUAAUUUAUCAGGCCUAAUGCACAAUUGUUCUGAGUUGAAAGUGGAAUAAUCAGGCGGAUGACAUGUGAGAUUGAAGACUCCUGCGUUGGAACGAAGCAGGAAAAGUGGAUUUUAAAUGAUGUGGCUGAUUUGCGGUGUGUAAUCUGCGGUGUUUACUUGCUGGAAACGCCGUUAGUCUGUUGGAGAAACGCGUCCAACGUCCUCUAUUUUGAUAGUAAAUUGUGGAAACCAAUCAGCGGCUUAUUACAUUUUCAGUACAUAAUGUAUUCCCUUCCAUUCACAGGCGUACAGUUUAGCCUCGUGGUCAUUAGUGUGCAGCGUUCUGCUGGGUUGAUUGAUGAGAUUGAACAGUACAACCUUUAAACACAGGCCAAGUCGGGGCCAGAGAACUUCAUUUACUCUCAUGUGACAUUUGAGAAGCAGAUAUAAUAGUGUAUGCAGAUGAUAGUUAGCAUAUGCAUAAAGUCUGGUGUAGUACGGAGAACUCGAGUACGCUGGAACUGAUUUUUAAUAUUGAAUACCGAACUUCACACCACAGCAAUACCCCGAGUAGAUCUCUGAGGCGUACUGUGCAGUAUUCAUUGCACCUACUGUAUAGUAUGAUAUGUAGCAACAUAGUGCAACAGUGUUCAUCCAUACUGUACGUGUAAUUGAACAUAUUUGAUUUCAACCAUUUCUUCUGACCUGGUAACAUUUUUGUGGCCUGAUUCAUUGAAGAUGUAGGUCCUUUAAGCCAGAAGUAAAAUGUGAAUUAUAAAUGACAGUGUGUUCAUUACAGUGGUGUAGAAAAACACAUAAUACCAACACUAAUAAAGGCUUUUUGUUUUGAGUUAAACUGUAAACAUUUCCAGCCUUCAGUGGUUGUACAUCACUGGUUUUUGAUACAAUCUUAGCAGCAGCCCCCGGAGUUCGUUUGACUUUUUUUAGCAGCCGUUUUGCAGCUGUUCUUGAACGUUGCAGAGAACGGCAUAAAAACUGCUGCUCCUUCUCCACUGCCUUUACUUAUUUAUUGUUGCGUUUAUCCAUUUCUCAUUGGCUUUUACUACACUGUCUGCUUUUAUCUUAUAGUUUUAUUUCACCUUGUUUAGAUCUUAAAUUAGAUCUUUUAGCUUUAGGCUGCC